ACUAUAUAUUGGAUAAGUUGCAGGAAAGUGUAUGGGUAAUAUCUUCAUUCUUUGCAGUUUGUCAUGGAUUAAAUGAUAAAGGUCUGCAUGAUUUUGAAAAAAAAUGAUUAUUAGCAAAUUGCUACGGCCCUGUAUAUAUGAUGCUUGAUUAACUGAGGGGGGAGUUGAAUAUUUCGAAUCUCUAGAUCGUCGGAAAUGGCACUUUCAGAGUCUUCAUUAAUUUAUUGAUUGUGAUUCUAGAGAUGCUAUGAAAUUUUAUACAAGGAAAAUGUACUUCUUUUCUUCCUGAGAUCUUAUCAUGUGAGACACAAAUAGCGAAUAAAAAUUACGAGUCCUAUAGAUCUAAUUACGAGAGCUAUAACAUACUGAUUCCCCAAGCUGUCUUAAAAAAGUAGGAUUUUAUAAGAAAAAGUAGGAAAAUCAAGCAAUUUUUAAUAAAAAAUAGGAAAAGUAGGAAAGUUGAAGAAAAGUAGGAAAAAGUAGGAAAAGUAGGACGGCAAGAAAGCCUGAUUAGUUGUCAUAUCAAUGGAUUUGGCCUGUCCAAUUGUCUGUCGAGACUUGAGAGAGUUAAAGUUAAAUGAACCUGUAAAAGUGUAAACCCAAUAGGCCAAUACACUUUUACUUUUAUAAAAUCAUUGACAUUGUGUCGUUUGAAUCCGAGUACAAUUUAUGAUGCAACUCCGAUGUAAAUAAUAU